rnacentral:rRNA from 1 species
GGCAGAGAGGUCACACCCGUUCCCAUACCGAACACGGAAGUUAAGCUCUCUAGCGCCGAUGGUAGUUGGGACUUUGUCCCUGUGAGAGUAGGACGUCGCCAAGCA